UUUUUUAAUUCAUAAUCCUACUGAUAUUGUAGAUGGCGUAUAAGAGAUUUAUUUGGUUGUUUCUUUGUAUUAGCAAUUAAUCAAAGCUUGAUUGCCAUCUUCAUUCAGGAAAUAGAUUUUAAAAAAAAUUAGAAGGUUGACUGGCCUGAUAUAAUUCCUGUCUUCGAUAGGAGUGUUUGAUUUUCGCGACUGAUGUCUGAUCAAAAUCCUUACAUGUUUAAAAAACAGUAG